rnacentral:rRNA from 1 species
AGAGAUGGAUUGGUGGCCUUCGGGAACUGUGAGACAGGUGCUGCAUGGCUGUCGUCAGCUCGUGUUGUGAAAUGUUGGUUAAGUCCCGCAACGAGCGCAACCCCUUAUCCUUUGUUGCCAGCGGUCCGGCCGGGGAAACUCAAAGGAGACUGCCAGUGAUAAACUGGAGGAAGGUGGGGAUGACGUCAAGUCAUCAUGGCCCUUACGACCAGGGCUACACACGUGCUACAAUGGCGCAUACAAAGAGAAGCGACCUCGCGAGAGCAAGCGGACCUCAUAAAGUGCGUCGUAGUCCGGAUUGGAGUCUGCAACUCGACUCCAUGAAGUCGGAAUCGCUAGUAAUCGUGGAUCAGAAUGCCACGGUGAAUACGUUCCCGGGCCUU